GGAUCGUGUUAUGUUUUUGAGAACAAAUCAUGCAUCUUUUGUGCGAGAAGCAAACUUCCACUUCAUGUUUAAAUAAACAAUUUGUGCAAAGCUGCAAUCUUAAAAUUGUAUCAACCCUGUCAUUAAAAUGUUUUGCUAAAAAUGAUUGACAAUUAAACAGGCCAUGGUUAGAUAAGUUGCAUAAUUGACAAUAUUGUAUUUUAUUUUCAUUUCCUCGUUUAUUGAAAUGCGUCGACAGCGAUUUUUUGCUGAUGCUACAUUUUGAUGAAGGUCGCUGUUGUUUUGCAAUUAAGUCUUGUCCGGUUUGAUUAUUAGCCAUUUCCAAGGCAUAUAAUGAAUUUUUUGAAUUAUGUGAAUCCCUAAGUACCGGUGAUUCCAUAUGAAUUUCUAGAAAAUUCUUCUGUAGGCUUUUAGAAUGCAAUUUGAGAUUUAUCUCUCUUCUAUGGUGCCUAUAUAUAGCUUCCUGCUCGUAAAAUUUAUUCUGAUACUCCGUGUUGGAGCCUCCAAGAUCAGCAUCUAUUUCGAUAUGGGUUUUAAAGAUUAACCCCCAUCGGAAUUUUAAUAUUUCUAGGGCUUCUUCAAGAUCAUAUUUAUCCAAUGACGAGUAUCCAUUAGAUAGUUCUAACAUACUAUCAAAGGACCUAAAUAAAGCUGCUUGUUUACGAAGCAACUCUUCGGUUUUUUUUUGAAUACCUGAAGGAUUUCAGGCUGUCAGUGAAAGAAGCUUGGAACAAAUUCUCCAUUAUGGUAUAUAUUAUUAACUAGUUUAUAUAUAAUAUACUUAGUAAAUUCUUAAACGUAUGUUUUAUAAAAUACGUAGUAACAAUGCGUUACCAUUCGCUUCUGCCUGAUAAAAUGCUCAGAAUAAAUGAGAUAAUUCUCAGAAUUAUAGUGCUCAAAACAAAUGGAAAGGACUUACCUACUGCAAUGGCUGCUUUCCUCUUCUUGUUAUGUUGCGUGUAGAUUACUACCCGACGUCUUCCGCCACACCGUGUUGACGGAUACGGGAUUGUUUAUUAUCUUUUAAAAGGACCUUCUAGACCCUUUGCUUGCUUCUCUGCUACGCUUCUCUGUAAAUGCUUGUACCUCCAGGAUACAUUCUGUGCUUUAAACAAUUGGAGAGGACUUACUGUACCGAGCGCUGUCGCUUGCCUCUCUAUGUUGAAGAUUGACGUCCGUCGCCUUGUUCUAGGUUGAAAGGACGCCGAUAUAUUUGGACUAGUCUGGAUCCUUGAAAACGUUGCUCUCCUCUUUUCUAUUGAUGCGGAUGAUGGUAUUUGAUUUGCUUGAUGACCCAACGAACCAGCAGUGGGAUGUUUUUCCACGGCGCCGAUCUUCAGGAAAACGGAGUAAAACGCGAACGCGAUCAACUGAACGCGAAAGACCCGCUAUUCCCGGAUAG